rnacentral:rRNA from 1 species
GACGAACGCUGGCGGCGUGCUUAACACAUGCAAGUCGAACGGAAAGGCCCUGCUUUUGUGGGGUGCUCGAGUGGCGAACGGGUGAGUAACACGUGAGUAACCUGCCCUUGACUUUGGGAUAACUUCAGGAAACUGGGGCUAAUACCGGAUAGGAGCUCCUGCUGCAUGGUGGGGGUUGGAAAGUUUCGGCGGUUGGGGAUGGACUCGCGGCUUAUCAGCUUGUUGGUGGGGUAGUGGCUUACCAAGGCUUCGACGGGUAGCCGGCCUGAGAGGGUGACCGGCCACAUUGGGACUGAGAUACGGCCCAGACUCCUACGGGAGGCAGCAGUGGGGAAUAUUGCACAAUGGGCGGAAGCCUGAUGCAGCAACGCCGCGUGCGGGAUGACGGCCUUCGGGUGGUAAACCGCUUUCGCCUGUGACGAAGCGUGAGUGACGGGAAUGGGUAAAGAAGCACCGGCUAACUACGU